AUGAACGCUGGCGGCGUGCCUAAUACAUGCAAGUCGAGCGAACAGAUGAGGAGCUUGCUCCUCUGACGUUAGCGGCGGACGGGUGAGUAACACGUGGAUAACCUACCUAUAAGACUGGGAUAACUUCGGGAAACCGGAGCUAAUACCGGAUAAUAUAUUGAACCGCUUGGUUCAAUAGUGAAAGACGGUUUUGCUGUCACUUAUAGAUGGAUCCGCGCCGCAUUAGCUAGUUGGUAAGGUAACGGCUUACCAAGGCAACGAUGCGUAGCCGACCUGAGAGGGUGAUCGGCCACACUGGAACUGAGACACGGUCCAGACUCCUACGGGAGGCAGCAGUAGGGAAUCUUCCGCAAUGGGCGAAAGCCUGACGGAGCAACGCCGCGUGAGUGAUGAAGGUCUUCGGAUCGUAAAACUCUGUUAUUAGGGAAGAACAAAUGUGUAAGUAACUAUGCACGUCUUGACGGUACCUAAUCAGAAAGCCACGGCUAACUACGUG
rnacentral:rRNA from 1 species